rnacentral:lncRNA from 1 species
ACAAAUAGCGGGCAAAUUUAUGAAUUCCUUUAUUAACACUAAGCUUCAGUUAGUUCCACUAGGGGUGGGCGUUCGAUUCGGGUUGAUCCGUAACGAACCGAAUCUGUAUUUUUAUUCGGCUUUCGGUUUUGUUGGGGUUAACCCAAAAAUCCAAACGGAUUACAUCCUCUAAACCGAACGGUUUCGAAAUUCAGUUUAGGUUAACCUGAACAGAAUUGAGAAACCGAUCGGGUUAAACGCAUGAAAAUAGGAGAAAAUAAGCAGAGCAGAGAGCACAUGCACCAGCAUGAAGACAGAAGUCAAAACAAUUUUACAAAGACAAACAAAGCCCCAAACUCGAUCAGUUGAUCCCCAAUCCCAAAUUCAAAUCCUAAUAGUCGUCAAUCAUCCUCCGCGCCGUACCACGUCUCGCCGUUGUAGCCCACGAUUUCGAUCCCCAAAUUCACAAUUUCACAAAACAAAAAACAAACCCUAACAACCACAUCCUCUCUCGUCCGAUUAUGCCACUUGGUUCGGCAGUCCCUCCACACCGCUCCACGUCAGCUCAACUCGCUGUUGCAGCCAACAACUUCAGCUCACAACUCUCUCUCUCUCUCUCUCUCUCUCGUAGCCAACGAUUUCAGUUCAAGACUCUCUCUCUCAAAUCGUCGCCGCAGCCCACGACUUUGAUUCGGCCACUACUUCAGCUCCUCCUCACAGCUCACUGUCAGCUCUUCAUGCCUUCAUGGUCAAUAAGCUCUUCAUAGCUUGUGUACAUACUCUGUAAUAUUUUCUUUAUUGUUGUAAUUUGUAUUUGAAUAUUAUGAAUUUGGUGUUUUGGAAACUCGAAUAUUUUAGAUUUGUUUAUGUUUUCAUCCUGGCGAAUUGAAAAUAGGCAAUCAUGGGUACGGUGCAGCAGGCUGAUUGGCUAUUGGAAGUUGAUGGAUCAUGAGUUGGUAUAUGGCAAAAAAGUCCGGGCCAGCACGACCCACUCCUACGGAUUUUGUAUCGGACUUCACACAUGAGGUGCUGGAGAAAGGCUUAGGAAAAAAAGCAUAGGGCAGGCCCAAG